rnacentral:misc_RNA from 1 species
AUUCCUUAACCUUCCUUCUUCACCAUUGAAGAACUUCGCCAUUGCAGGCCGUAAUACUUCGAAACUUUCACAGGCUUUGCAAUGGGCCUCCGGUCCAAACCCGCCACCCGAAAUUCCGAUCCUCACCGCCGACACCACCGACUCGGCUUCACUUCGUCACCUCGCUUCCCGGACUAAGAUCAUCCUCAACUGUGUCGGACCAUUUCGUCUUUAUGGAGAACCG